UACGUAGGGUGCAAGCGUUGUCCGGAAUUAUUGGGCGUAAAGAGCUCGUAGGCGGUCUGUCGCGUCGGCUGUGAAAUCCCGGAGCUCAACUCCGGGUCUGCAGUCGAUACGGGCAAACUGGAGUACUGCAGGGGAGACUGGAAAUUCCUGGUGUAGCGGUGAAAUGCGCAGAUAUCAGGAGGAACACCGGUGGCGAAGGCGGGUCUCUGGGCCAUAACUGACGCUGGAUGCACGAAAGCUAGGGGAGCAAACAGG
rnacentral:rRNA from 1 species